CGAGGCACCACCUCCUCCCUGCUGGAAGGGGCCAGGCUGAGGGGCGAUGUCCGGUGCUAACCAAGCACAGCUCCGCUAGGGUAUACUCAGGCGGCACAGCCCCACGAGCCAGCCAGUGUCUACCGGGCCGAGGCCAGCCAUCCCAGGACUCAGGGAACGGACUCUGCCGAACACACGCUCCUUGAUCUUUGAGCACGGGCUAUGUGCUUCUGAGCUCCGUCCUGCCUCCCUGGGACCAGCACCUGUGGCCACUUUCCACAAGUGCCAGCGGUCCUCAGUGCAGCAGCUCUCCGAGGCCCUCAGACCCAGGCCCGCCCCCUCCCCCUGCCAGCAGCUCCACUACACGAGCUGCUCCCCGGGGGGGGGGGCACUCCCCCCUGCUGCCCACCUGACCCCGGGCUCUGCCAGACUGGAGGGUCCUGGGGCGGUGUCUUCCCCUUUCUCAGCCGUAGGCAUGGCCUUGUCGUGCCUUGUCCCUCCCGCUGCCCCCUGGGUGGCUCAGCGUUUGCUGGGCCAGAAGGCCCACCGCCAACUCCUCAUCCCACCCGCCAACUCCUCCACCCCCCCGCGGCCUUGGGAGCCCGAGGCGGAGGUGAGCAGGACAGAUUGCGCAGAGCACCGCUGAGAUGUGCAAAGGGACGGGCCUCCUCACAGCCAGCAGCCUGGGGGAGCUCUGCCCCCUCGGGAUCUGGGGUCCGGGCCUGUCCGCAGGGUGGCCCUGGGGCUUCAUCUUUCUCGGAAAGGGCAGAACCUGGGGUGGGAGGGGAGCCGGGGACAGGGCUGGGAGCAGGGCUCAGCUGCGGAGGUGAUGGCCUAUCACGGUCUCUGACUGCUCCUUGGGACCUGGCCUCUCAGCGCACAUUUCCCAGCCCCAGAGACGUUUCUGGACAUGGCUAUUCCUCUGUCCCUGGCCCCGCAGUGCUGGGGGAAGCUGCUGGACGAAGGGAAGGACGGGGGAGGAAGACCAGGGCUGUACAAGGGGUUGCAAAGCCUGUAGUCCAAGAAUACGGCGUGGGGUACAAGGCCAUCUCUCCGCAGCGGCCUUUGCUGAAGUGCAGUGGACAGUGGUCUGGAAGAG
rnacentral:lncRNA from 1 species